UCCGUAGGGGGUCUGCCAAGUCUGAUGUGAAAUCCCGCGGCUCAACUGCGGAACGGCAUUGGAUACUGGCGGGCUGGAGUCUGCGAGGGGUGAGCGGAAUUCCUGGUGUAGCGGUGGAAUGCGUAGAUAUCAGGAAGAACACCGAUGGCGAAGGCGGCUCACUGGCGCAGUACUGACCCUGAGGGACGAAAGCGUGGGGAGCAAACA
rnacentral:rRNA from 1 species